rnacentral:rRNA from 1 species
UACGUAGGGGGCAAGCGUUGUCCGGAAUCAUUGGGCGUAAAGCGCGCGUAGGCGGCCCGGUAAGUCCGUUGUGAAAGUCAAAGGCUCAACCUUUGAACGCCGAUGGAUACUGCCGGGCUAGAGUCCGGAAGAGGCGAGUGGAAUUCCUGGUGUAGCGGUGGAAUGCGCAGAUAUCAGGAGGAACACCAAUAGCGAAGGCAGCUCGCUGGGACGGUACUGACGCUCAGGCACGAAAGCGUGGGGAGCAAACAGG